UCCUCCAGGCUCCCUCUCUUGUUCUGCCCUGUGCCAAGCAGGUGGAAGGUCUAGAAGGGGUGGAAGGGGAGACAGGGAGAUUCCACCCUUGGGGAGUCUCAGUCUGAUGGGGCAAACCCAAAGUAAGACUCGGAGAAGCCCUACACACCAGUGCCCAGCACGUGACAGCCUGGACUCUAGGAAGGGGGUUGAAAUGUUCUAGACUGGAUGGAGUCAGACGGGGAAGGUUUGCUGGGGAGACACUUCUGAGCAGGAGAAGACAAACGGGGAGGAGGAAGAUGGAAGAAGGGAGGGGAACAUCUGAAAGAAUCGUGCAAUGUAUAAAGAGGUUAUGGUGACCACUUGGGGAGAGGGAAGCGUGGCUCAGGGAGCUGAAGUCCCUCAUCUAAGGCUCAUCACUCCAGAGCUGGAUCUCAGGCUCCUAGCCCAUGCAUUGCAUCCCCAUGGGGCAGGAGGGGUUGGGAGGGGGCUGGCCAGAAGUGGAAUGCUAGAAGGAAAGAGGCAGCCGCUCCCUGACCCAUCGCUGUUGAUCAUAAGGGCAGACAAUACGCUAACACAUCUCCCCUUUGCUAGCCCAGCACCAUUCAGGGGCUCCCGAGGCCCCCCACCCCAACUUGGAAAAGAUGGAUGCUCCACGAUGCUCUCACAUUUUCCUGAGAAGGGGACUUCUCAGGACUCUCAGGCGAGUCUCUGAAUGGGCCCAGCUUGAGUCCUCCGCGGCCCCUGCUACCCUAUGUGUCCCCAUUAUAGGUCUGGUGGUAUUGGCUGAGACUCGGAUAUUGCAAGUUACAGAGCCAACUCAAAGUAGCAUUUAAAUAAGAGGACUUUACAAAAGGGACACCAGAGUGUCGUACACAGCCCCAGCGCAGGAGCGCAGUCAUGCCUCAGUCAAGGACAUCGAGGACAGGCAAGCCAGACAGACCCGCGAGCUCCCACCUCCUGCUCUCCACCUGGCAUCUGCAUUCCCGUCUCAUCCUUGGCUUCUCCUUGCAUACCCAGGAAGACCCCCAGAUCCAAGAUGGUGAUUUGGGGUCCCAAGCCCACAUGGGAUCAAUAAAGAACAGCAUGAAGAGAUGGCCUGUAGGCCCCAAUUCCAGGACCUCAAAGUCAGAAUUCUGACCAUCUCAGCUUGGCUUAGGUACCAGUUUUAGUCCAAUCAACCUCAGGCCAGGGCAUCCGGCUGCACUAAACAAAGGCUGUGUGUGCCCUCUACUAUGUGUGAGCAGUAUUUAUGGAAGCCCUUUGUGAAAUUGCCAGCGGAUCCCAGCAAUGCGGAGAGGAAACAGCCAAGGGGGUUGUGUCUCUUCCUGGGCUCAGGGAGGAUGGCCGAAGCCGCCCUCAGGCCAGGCUUGCACGUAAACUCCUGAGGAGGCUGCUCCCUGUGCCAGGGGCACCCGAGGGCUGCUCCUCAGGUGCUGGGGCAGGCAGGGGCUCACCAUAGGUGCUAACCCAGGGGACCUGGGGCCCCUGAGACCCUGGAAUGAGAACUUGGGCACCUAAGAUAAACCCUCCCUUGAUACCAGUCUCCACUGGGUUCUGAAUCUUCCUCCAAUCUCAUUCUCCCCAGCCCUGACUGGACUCUCUCUUAAAACUCCACACGGGCAUCAGAGCCAAGUUGGGGUGGGGUUGUGGGUGGAGGGAACCUCAGUUUCUCCUGGUCUAAGGGCCUGCCCUUGGGUGAGGAGAUAGAUAAGGCUCUGGUGUAGGAGAUCAGACGUACCUCUGUGGUUUCUAAAAAGGGGAAGAGAUGAAAGUCCUAAGUGGUAGAAAGGACCAGAGACAGAGUCACAGAGGUCGUCAUCCUCUUAUAUUAAAUUAUUUGUAGGCAAACUGUCACCAAGGCAUCAAUGGGAGGUCCUGGCCCUGCCCCCAUCCCUGCCGCCAUGGCCAUUCCAUGGAGUUAUCCGUGGCGUUAUCCAUGGCCAGAUGGCGUUAUCCUGGGUGGCUGAGCAGCCCCCAGGAGCGAGGUGUCCACAGGCAGAGAACCAGCAAUGACAUGGGACAUUAGGUGCUGAUGGCUUUGCCAAGCAAGAGAAUUGCAAUUAAGGAUGCAAUGGGUCCCUCCGGGGGCUGUCAGACAAGGAUCCAGAACAAUAGUCAGGAGGCUGGGAGCUUUCUGAAAGCAGGGGCAGUGGGAGCCAGGACAGGGCUGUGGGGGCACAGCCUCCAUCCUCACAGCAAGUCCGUCAGCAGCAGAAAGGUAAUUAACACCUGCAUUUACUCAGUGCCCAGCAGGCCCCCUACUGGAAGGCGGGAGUGCAAUUAUCUCCAUUCUACAGAUAAGAUAGGGAAAGAGCAGAAGAGCAGAGGUUAUGCAACUUGUCUGCAGCUCACAGAUAGUGGAGACGGAAUUCAGGCUCAGCUUCAUCUGGCAUCAAAGUUAGGAUUCAGAACCCCCCUCUACCCCCCUGCAGUGCCCUCUUCUGAGAGUUCCCCAGAUGGGCCUCACCACCCAGGGCCACAGGCAGCACUGCCCCAGCCUGGGGUUUGCAGCUUCAGGUUGGGAAGAGCUCGCCCAGACUCCCUGGCAGCCACAUGGGGACACACCUCUCCUCCCUGGUGUGGGGGAGGAAGAGGAGGAACAGCUGGCCUGGGUGACAAGUGGAGGCCAUUCCAGGGGAGGUGGCAGACGCAGGAAGGUAGGAGGUGAGGAGGGGCACGUGCGUCACCUCAAAGCCUGUGUCUAAGCUCCCCACCCACCUUGCUCAAACCUCCCACCUUGGGGAACUCCCACUCCUGGUCCUCCACCUCGGGCUCUGUGCGGUGACGUCAUCGUCACUAACAAGCUCUCCCUAAUCUAUACUGAACACGCCUGGGGGGGGGGCCCUGCACCACCCCCCAGCCCUGCUUGUUUGCACACGCCCACCAUGCCACCUUGGGGGUCAGGUGGUAUGUGGGAAGCAGCCGGUGAAAAACUGUGCCCUUUGUAGGAGCUGGUCAUAUUGCACCCAAUACAGAGGAUGGGGAGAAGGUCGGGGAGGGGAGAGCAAAGUUGAGAUGAGAGGAAGAUGAGAAACGAGGUGUUCAGAGGCCCCAAAACAGGCAGGCACACCUAGAGGCCAUACUGGCCGCUGGCCGGGCACCUCACGGCAUCAGGGCUGAUCUGGACACUGGGGAGCAGCUGGAAGGGACGGAGGGCCAGAAAGACUGAGUCAUCCAGUCUGGGUUCACACCUGCUCCCUCAGGCUGGGCUUCGAACUUGUCCUGGAAAUACUCUGACCACAAACCGUGCACCCGGGGCCCUGUUCCCUCCGGUUACAGCCCAAGGAGGUGAAGAGUGAUCGAGACCUGAGGCUGCCCGCACUGGUGUCGCUGGUCUGCUGGGAAGAUCCUGGGGAGCUGGAAUCCACAGGGCUCACUCCCAACAGCAAAGCCCCAUCCAAGAGCUGACUAGAGCCCUUAAAGGGGAGUGCUUGUGAGUUCAGACAGGGAACACAAGAGUGAGGGAGUUGAAGGCAACUCCCGACUUCGCCUCGGAAGGCUUGUCCCUUCAUUCCCAGCAGCCUAAGUCUUGGCCAUCCUUCAAAACCCAGCAGAAAGGCCACCUCUUCCAUGAAGCCUUCCCUCCCCUCCAAAUGAAGUUUUCUCCCUCUCUAAAUACUUUACCCACACUUAUCUGCGAGCCUUGCCACGUUCCUCCUUGCAUUGCGCCUCCCUGGCUAGACUUGGGGCUCCAUAGUGCAGAGCCGUCGUCCCAUCUCCAGAGCUCCAUACCGCCCUGCUGGAUGACGGGGGGCGGGGGUGCUGGAGAGGAGGGCUUCACUAAGCAGCAGGACAGGAGGCGGAGUGCUCGCAUCAGAGGGUAGCGGGGUCCAGGACACACUAGCUGAAACAAGACCCAGGAGAGCUGCUGCUUACGACCUGAGCCAGGUUGCAUUUGAGGACCGAAUACAAAGGAAGCCCAUUUCUCCAGAGUCCUGGGCAACUGAGAAACCAAACGCAGUGCCCUCACAGAAGGGGCAAGCGCUAGCUACGGGGGAAUAAGCGUUAAGGGAAAAAACGCCACCACUCUCCACGUGCUUCUGGUAGUGGCGGCGGCAGAAGCAAAAUCAUUUAUUUGUCCAACAGUAUUUUUCAUUUCAGAUGAUCUAUUUUCAUCUUUAUAAGUUCAUUUUCUAAAAACCUUCCAUUUUUCUCCUCAUCGUGUUCAUGUUUUCCUCUACACUUCUGAGCAUAUGGAGCAUAUUUAUAACCGCUGCUUUAGCAUCCUUGUCCGCUAAUUCCAUCAACUUUCCCAUUUGGGGGUCUCUUUCUGUGAACUGAUUUUUCUUCUGGUUAUAGGUCCUAUUUUUCUGCUUCUUUGCAUGGCUGUUAAUUUUCUAUUCGAUGACCAAUAUUGUGAAUUUUCCAUUGGGGUCUAGAUUUUGUCAUAUUCCUCUAAAGAGAGCUGGACUCGGAUCCACCUCACAGUCAUUUGGAGUCACUGUAACCUUUUUAAGUGUUGUCUUUAAGGGCUAUGAGAACGGAUCCAGGACAGCUUUUGGUCUCAUGCUAAGGUAAAACAUCCUCUUGAGGACUCUAUCCAAUGUAACGCUUCCUACAAGCUCCCUCCACUAUCACUGGUGGGAAUCUGACCCAUUCCAGCCCUGGGUGAGCUCUAUCAAUUGGUCAGUCUUCUUCCUGAUGGUUCUUUCCCUAACUUUGUGGUGUUUCACCCCCAGUUGUGUGCAAAUCAAUGGCCAAAGUUUCGAGGCCCCUUCUACAGAUUUCCAGAAACCUUUAUGAGCAGCACCCUUCUCUCCAGAAUUCUUCCCGCACAAAUCCUAGUCUCCUCAGCCUCAACCCAUGUCUUAUCAAUCCAACCUUCAGCCUCUUUUCA